rnacentral:sRNA from 1 species
GUUUUUCUAUGACAUGGUUUUUAACGAGGCAGUACGUAACUCAUCAAAAGUGAUGGAUAUUCAAGGGGGAGUGUUAUAAACUGGAUAAAUAUGGAUGUGAUUAUCCAUCACUCAUCUCUAUCUAUAAGAUAUGGAUGAUGCUUAUCUCCAUCCAUUACUUCUUCCUUAAGCUAUGGAUGAUGUUUAUCCAUUAAUUCCCCUCUAAGAU